CCUAUAUAAAGGAGCGACUCCAUGAUGAGCGCUCGCCCCUUUUCUUCUCGCCCUUUUCCUCGUCUUUGUGCGAUUAGGGUUUGCUUCGUCUCUUCGUCCUCCUCGUGCAUCCGCUUCUUCGUCAACCAUGUCGUCCAAGCAAGGUGGAAAGUUGAAGCCCUUGAAGCAAGCUAAGGCUGAUAAGAAGGAAUACGAUGAGACGGAUCUAGCAAACAUCCAGAAGAAGAAAGAUGAGGAGAAGGCUUUGAAGGAGCUGAGGGCCAAGGCUUCGCAGAAGGGAAGCUUUGGAGGUGCAGGCCUUAAGAAGAGUGGGAAGAAAUAAGAAAGACAAGCGUACUCCCUCUCUCUCUCUCUCUCUCUCUCUUUCGCGCACUCUCUAUCUCUUGUAAUAGUAAAUCAAUGACUUAGAUCUGGGGUUUAUCAUCGCUAUUGCAUGUUAGCUCUAUGAUUGGAAGACAACUACUGGCAUCGCAGGUGUGAUCAUUUUCUGUAUCUGCCGGUUUUCAGGAGUUUGGUACACUCCCUAUCUAUUAAGUUUCUGGUAUAUCCUGUGGUCUCUUUGUUUCUUCCAUUUAAGCGUGUUUGUUUCAAAGCGAAAUAAUUGCCUCAUGUAGCGUCAUCUCGACAUGAGCCGUACUAAUAGUUGGUGAUUA